AAUGUUCUGUUUACCAAAAUUGCCGAUCAGUGACUCAAUUGUCUAAUCUGAGACUGUGUUAUGGCUUCUUUCUUCUUUCCUGCUGGAAAGAAAGAGAGGAAUAAACUCCUGCAAGGAGCUGUAGCUCAGAUUUUUUUUCUUUUUGCAUACUCCCAAAAGGGAGGCAAAAUGGAUGUAAUAUUUGUUUUCUAUUAAAUAUCAUCUCCUCUCUGCGCUGCUGGAGCUGCUGAAGUCGUUGUGUGGUCCUUCUGCUUAGGCACAAUAUGUGAGUGCUUUACUGUGGCGUUUGCGGGUCCUUUGAUUAAAGUCCAACUCGUGUUUUAAUAGCUGCACCAGAAAAUCAACACCUCCUGCUGCGGUACUUGCAGGAACUUCAUCUCGUGAGCUUGUUUUGCAAGAUGAACUCUCUAACCUGAGGAAGUACUAGAGCAGCUGUUCUCUCUUUGAAACGUGACUCAUGUCAAAGAGAAAUGUUAUUGAGGUGAGUCUGACAGGUGAGAGAUCGACAUCUGAUGCUCAUGGGCAAAUGGCAGGACCAAAUCCGAUGCACUUAUAGUGUUGAUGAAAUUGAUUCCUACAUUAUUCAGGUUCAACGGGGAAUGCGACUGUUUAAGGUGUCUGUCACAGGUAAACCGAAAUCUAACCCAGAUGACUUUGGGAAUCAAGCAGGACAUACUCCAAACAGGUCUACGGUUUAUCAUAUUUAGAUAUGAUCAGAUCAGAUCGGCAUGUCCUACCUCUGCUCCUGCGUGGGGUUGAGGGACCAGACAAAACUAUCCCAGCGAUGAGGACCACCAGGAAGAGGACCAGAAAGCCCGGCGAGCGCUGCUGCACCCUCGUCAUGACUGCGGCGCUUGGUGGUGGUGAAUCUUAGGAUGGAUGGACCAGCGCUGGUGUCUCGAGGGUUAGAUGAAGCUCUCAGGUCACGUGAGGUAGCAGCGACAGGUAAAGAGUUUCUUGCUUGGAUGGUCUCUGGAAGAGGCUGGACAAUUUCUCUGAGCUGAGCAGGAUUUGUGCAGCACACUUGUGCAGGUUCAGAUGCUGCUGCACCUUCUAUACCUCUCUGGUGGAGGGGAGGGGUCAGAGGGAGACAGACACACUGGCUUUCUCUCCAAAAGGAGUUGUCACCAAACUUCCCGCCCUUUUCUCUCUGCUGUCCCCCACCACCACCCACCCCCUCCCUGCUUCGUCUGGUUUGUCCACACCAAUUCUGCUUUCCAUCUGCACCAGAGGUUCUCUGACACAAGCCAUUGUUUUCGUUCUCCUUGCCUUGUGCUUCUCUCUGGAAGUGUUUUUAUGCACACUAAAAGUCACAUUCAGAACACCCAAAUUGCAAACAUCAGUGUUAAUGCCCAAUAAGGUUUGUCUCGUGGAUGUACGCGCAAAAUGGGACAGCUGAAGUUUAACCCACUAUGGUAACACGUAAAGCAGUUUUUCCCAAACACAGGGGGCUUAAUUGUGUUGCAUUUGACUUUUGCAUGCAUGACAACAGAGCCUCGAAACAAAAAGAAUUUUAAAAAAAGUCACACAAAAAAGGACACUUUUAUCAAAUUCUUCUCAAUACUCUUUUGAAAACAUAGUCUCUUGUUACAAGUGACUUGUUACUAACAUUACAAGUGACUGUAACAAGUGACAAGGUUGUUACAAGGCCAGCUGCAUUUUAAGUGCAAAUCGGCAUCUUGGGGAUGGAGAACCACUCCGCAGUUGAACAUGCAAGUCUCUGGCAUCUCGGGGAAUCCUCGUAUCUCCAAAAUCAUCACUUUUCAGGGGAUAUUUGUUCAACCUAGCAUAACAUAGCAUCGUCAACGAGAGCCAGACAUUUUCAUCAAGUUCGACUGGUCGGUAACUUGCUACCUAAACAACUGAACAAACAAACCAAUAAAUAAAUAAAUAAAUGAUAGAGCGAUAAAUAAAUAGAUAAAUAAAUAAAUAAAUAAAUAAAUAAAUAAAUAAAUAAAUAAAUAAAUAAAUAAAUAAAUAAAUAAAUAAAUAAAUAAAUAAAUAAAUAAAUAAAUAAAUAAAUAAAUAAAUAAAUAAAUAAACAAAUGGCAUUUGCUCCCUAUGGUCAGAGAAUGCAUUCUUAACCAACAUUCCAAACAUUCAAAAAGAGUGAGGUGACAAUGUUCUGGCAGUAACUCAGUCUGACUUUAAAAUCACUGGGUUAAAGGUUCCGAUCCUGCUUUUUGAAGAAGAAACACAGACAUCUGAGAGGUUGUAGAGAAAUGCUCGUCAGGUCAAGGUCACAGACCUUCACCACCGAACCCUAACUCAUAAUUCCCCUUUGAAUACAAGAUUUUACGUUUUAGCAAUGCUAUUCGUUUCCACAAUUUGUGUUUAAACGCUUUAAUGGACAUGCUCCUCUACCUUUCUGCACAUCAGAAGAGGCUACAGAGCUGCAGCAGAUUCACCAGGGCAGCAUUAAAUGUGUUUUAUUUUACAAAACAUCACUUGAAUAGACUGCUUAAACAACUGCUUCUUCUUCUGCAUGCCGACUGUAGUAGUAGUAGUAGUAGUAAUCUGGAAACCUUCAUAAACCACAAACCCCAACCAGAGACGUCAUACGGGACUGGUUAACCAAACAAUCAAGAUAUCAACGUGCACGCGUGUGCACCGGUGCGACUGCCAAACCAAUUUGGAAGCAUCUUUCUGAUCCCCUUAAAAAGAGUCUGAUCCCUGCAUCGUGCUUAGGUCUCCUGGUUUGGCUGCCCGCGGUGCCGGAUAAACACACGCACCCGCACUCUUACAGAGUCAGCUUUUGAGAGUCCAAAAUCGUUAAGGCCUACCAUUAUAUUCCAUGGAAACAUUGUCUCUCAUCAUGCAGUCUAUAAAUAUAUUCUUCGGUGAUGCCAUGGAGACUCACGUAGGGUCAAAUGUAGAACAAACGUGCCUUGUGACAGCAUUACAUCUUGAGCUUUCCUUCAAGUGCAAACCGCACAAUACAUCAUUGUUUACAACCAGUCCGCUUACUUCUUUUUUUUUCCUGAAACGUGUUUCUAGGCGUUCCUUCCCCUUUUUGAUGGUGGCCAGCCAAGAUUUUCUGUUGGGCCUCAAGGACAUCAAGUGUGUAGUAAGCGUGUGUGCAUGGCGCACACAUGUCGGAUUGCACGUGCGUGUACGCGUAGUGCAGCGUCCCCGCCCUCCGUUCCUUGAUUAUCCCACAUGUCAUUGCACGAGACAGGAAACCGAGGGCGCGCGCCAGCGGGGGCGUGUUCCCCGAGGAAGCAGGACUUUGCAAUGGAAGCACGCCUUUCAUCACAACGAGAGAGCCUAUUAAAUGUAAUAAUGGCAAUAAUAAUAACAGUCUGCUUCGAUGAUGGACGAGUGCGGCGAGUAAUCAACCUGAGCUGGCCCGCCUCCUGACUGGAUCAGGCAGUACAUGAAAUCACGUUACAUUACAUUCCUGACUUUUUUUUUUUUUUGAAUGAGAUCUAUGACUUCUCCUGAACUACAGUAGACAAGCACAAAUUUAUUUUAUUUGACAUCAUUAAUGUUUAAAUAUGACCCUCUGCCAAUUUCUUGAGAGCAAUACAAAGCAAAAUGUUUUUGGACAGCACCGCAAACAUUAAUCUUUUGUGAACGUUUUAUAAUGUUUAAGCAGAUGUUUUUAUAAUGUUGGCAGGUGUCUGUUACAUCCCCUCAACAUUUGGAAGAUUUUCAAAACAAAUCAAGAGAAGGCAUUUCUGACCUUCGUCGCUUAAAAUCGUACAUAUGAUAGUAGAAAAGCAAUAUACUUCUCUUCAACUUAAAAACUUUAGACUCCUGAAAAGCCUGCCCAGUUUUGUUGUCUUUCAUGAUGGUGACAAAAGAGCCAAGGUUCGAACAACUGAGUCUUCAGUCACUGGGCAACAUGCUCGCUCCACCAACAGAGGUGACCUAGGUAGCCCUGAUCUAACCUAUCUAAAAUGGUUCUUUUAUACUAUUUAUACCUUAUUUAUUCUAUACUAGCCUCACCCGUCUAUGUGGCUGACCACAUAGAUGGGUGAGGAAUGGGGGGGGGGGGGUGACUUUGACUAGCCCACAUGACAAUGUGCACAAAGACUUAAUUGGAUUCAACAAGUAUGUGUGCCAAGGUUGUCUAUAGAUAGAGAAAGCCGAGUAGAAUCAAAACAAGGACACAGCAAUAUAUCGGCCUAGCUCACGUCACCACUCUAAUUAUAUGUGCCAAUGAGGCAGAGUCUAACAUUCCUCGGAAAAAGUAAAGGUAAAGAAUAUUUGGCUUUCGGAUUAAAUUUCAAAAUGAUCCUAAAAUAACGGUAAUUUAAUUUGACCUUCUCAAAGUUUUGAAUGCACUGUUUAAUUUCCCAACACUUUUUAUUCAACUAGCUGUUCUGUUAACUAGUAAAUGAACGGUAAAAAUCGAAAUGGGUGUUUGAUUCAUGGAUAUCAACAGCUUUAGAACAAAGUUCAAAAUAUGAACCGGAAUUCCGAACAAAAUAAAUCUAAAAGGAUACCCACGGGAUACUUACCAGACCUAAAUCAUCCGCUCUGUUCGUUUCAUUUCACAACAAUGGCUAAGCCAGUAAAAUGUCAUGUUUCCAGUAAACUAAUCCAUGUCAUCAAAGUAUUGUGUUAACAUUUCAGAUGGAAAUGGAAACAAAUCUAUAUUUUCAUUGCAAACCUAGCCACCAGAUUUUAUGAUUCUGGGAAAACCCAUUACAGUCAAUCCACAUUAGAUCCGCUGUCUGAGAUUGUCAGUAUUUGGUUUAUUUAAACAACAUACGGACAAUCAGUUUGCUUUGAGACUUUGCUUUACUUCAGGAAGAAAGUUAUGUAGUCCAAAGUGAAAGUAUGUGUUUGAAGGAUAGUUUUGGCAGCCUUUGGAGAUGCAUGUCAAAACAGCCAUAUUGUUUAGCUACUCAACAGUUUGCACUCUGGUUAACAAGCAAAUUUUCUGUUAAAAGCCCGAAUCGUCAUAAGCAAACAUACUUUGAGAAUCGCCACGCUAAACUUCCCUUUUGCAUCUUGCCUUUACUUGUCUUGACGCCGUCUUCUCUUCUUUCCACACGGUUCUUUUUCUAUCCUCUCGACUAUUACCUGAUUCCAGAAAGAGGCCCUCCGAGCUCGCUGUGUGGAAUUCUGUCUGGUUUGUAUCAACAUGCAGAACAAUCGACCUAUACGAUGCUCCCUCUCAAGCGCUGGAUCCAGUCGUAAGUAUGCCUCCAACUCAGAUAGUUUUGAUUACCGCGUGUUGCGGUUCACUCAUCACUGUCUUUCGCUGUUAUGUUUACGCAACUCCUUUUAAUUCUCAGUUGGACGGAUUGGGAAUAAAAACAAAUCCGGAGUUCAUGUAAAAGUUUAGAUGCUUCCUGAUUAUUUCUUGUCACGGCCUGAGUUAAAAGCCUACUUUACUGAGUCCACAUACCGCACGAGGGACUGAAUUUGGCGUCUGGUUCUGUGUUGUUAUUGUCAGGGUUGUCAUACUUGAGGAAUAACAUUUGCUUUGGAUUCACGUGGUCAUCUAAUAAUUUUUAAAAGUUGCAGCAAUUGCUUUGACAUCACCUCUGCUUGUUUUACACUCCCUCUUCUAUUCCCUGUUUGUCAUGGCUGUAGUCAGCGAGGUCUCAGAGGGUAUUUUUUUUCCAUUAUGCCUCUAAACAAACAUUUUUUUUCCUUUCGUCUUAAACCUAUUCAUGGCUUGCCACAGUGAAUCAUCAUAAUUCAUCUCUCGCUGUCUUCGGCAUCUUCUGCUCUAACUCCAGCUGUCCGCAAGUCUUCCCUCAUCACAUCUCCUUUUUGUCUCCGACCUGACGACUCAGAACAUCCUACUUGAAAUAUAUUCUCUGUGCCUCCUUUGCAAGCCCAAACGAUCUCAAUACGGCCUCUCUAACUUUCUCCAACCCUUCCCGCCUCUGUUGAGCUCAUUCCAGAUCAUGUCCUUCCUCAUCAUUUUGCAAAAGAAUCUCUGCAUCUUCAACGCUGCCACUUUCUGUCUGUCCUGAUCGUUUCAUCUUAGUGCAAUGCCGGCCCGUGUACCCACUGAAGCGUCUGGACAUCUUCUGAGUGUGUUCUGCAGCCCUUGUAUAUGACGCAGAGAAUGGAGGACAAUCGGUCCUCGCUCUGCUUUUGUCAUCAUUCUUUUCCAUCCUUUGAUUACUUUUCAGCACAUCAUCAGUGUCAUCGGCCAACACGCGCCCGCCACGCAAGCACAAAUCUGUCACGGAGACACCCCGGAAAAAAAACUUGACAAGGUCUCGUAAAAGUGCGCCGUUUCACGCCAGUUUCCGUAAGAUGGAACAGACACGGUGAAGAAAACCUCCAGGAUUUUCAUCCCCUCUCUUCCAGUCACCCAACUCCCUGAAGAAAUAAAAACUCAUCAGUGAAUGGAAAACCAAUCACCAAAGAUCCCUCCCAGUAUGACACUGCCAUGUUCGGACAUGAAGCUCGUGACUUUGGAAAGGUCUGCUUGCGGGCCAAGAGCGAGAAGGUCUUUUCGCAGCUCAGCUUUUAAGCCUGCACUUUUUCCCUAGCUUGAACCGCUUGUGAUGCGGAGGACAAGAAAAAAAAAAAAGAAGAUAAUUGAGAUUAUUUUUCCACUCACGGAUGCCUUGAACGUCAUUACUUCUUGAGGUGCUGUGUUCCCGGUCGAUCCACUGAAAGCGCCGCAGUCGUUCCAAGUCAAAUUUCAAUUUGAUAACCUCUGCGCUGACUGUUUGAUUUGAUGGAUUCGCUCCAAUCUUUUUUCAGCAUAGUUGUGGUAUGUCAAAUGACAAAUUUCAGCAUUCAGUAGCAAGUGGAAAAUAUGACUGCAUUGAUUCUUAAACCAAACAGUGGGUGGUGUGCGUGCAUGUGGUGCUGAGAUUCCUGCCAAAUGUUCCCAUCAUCGUUUUAAUCGUUUGCUUUCAAAGCCCUGGAGGCAAAAUGAUGACUUCUUUCUCACCUAUUAUAUGGAUUAUAAUAAUCCCUCGUAGUUAGUCACAAAAUCACCUACCCCAGCUAUUCUCCGAAAAUCAGUGAAGUGUACAAAGCGUCAAUAAGUUGAGGGAACUCAAUAAUAUCUCCACUAGUUGCAGUCAAGUUUUGCUUGUGUAUUGAAAAUACAUUUCACCUGAGUUAUUAUUAUGCCCAUCCAUAUUUCAAAAGCACUUUUGGGGUUUCUGACAUGAAAUUUGACAUGAGCAAGCUUGGUCACAGAAGAACUCAGAAGUCAUGGUAGAACUCCUGCUCUGUGUAUCCACAGCAGCCCUCGAGGUUCAUCUGCAGUAAUGAUUGGGUUCCUUUAUAUUUGCAUUACGAUAUGAUGACAUGUUUUCUGGUUGUUUCCAAGUUUUUGCUGAAGGACCUCGACACAUGAUGGAACAUUAAGGCGGUACCUGGACUCUCUCUCCUCACCAGUGACGUCAACACUGAUGACUUGAACACUUGUUGCGGUUGCUGCUCAACGACUCAAACAUCAGCAAGCACAAUUUAAGACUUCAGGGCUAGCGUGGGCUUAUAUAUCUUCCCUGUGAAAGAUGAAUAGCCACAUUACAAGGAGGAGGAUCACAACUGACAGCAAAUGGAUACAAGGCAAAUCCGCUGGCAUGAAACUGGAGUCUGCAUGGCAGUGAUGUAGCUGCUCCAAAAAAAAAUGACUUUUUACACGUUACUGCUAUGUGGUUUACUUGUUAGGACGAUGCGUGUGCAUUCACAAAUCUGAUGCUUACACAAUGUUAAGUUACCGUAAUUUUCAGACUAUAAGUCGCGGCUUUUUUCAUAGUUUGGGUGGGGGGGGGGCGACUUAUACUCAGGAGCGACUUAUAUACGUAUAUAUGGUUUUUAUUUUUUUGGGCAUUUUAUGGCUGGUGCGACUUAUACUCCGGUGCGAUUUAUAGUCCGAAAAUUACGGUACUCAUUUGCAGAAAGUAUGUGUAUGUAGACACAUAGGCAGUGUGGAAUGGGAGUGUGAAUGGUUGUCUUUCGCCAAUAAACUCAUAGAAGACAAGCUCUGUCCUCUAUUAGUUGUUGAAAUGUUUAUCCUUAAAAAUAAUGCCAAAAGUAGCUAACAAGUAUAAUUGCAGAGGUACAAUAAAAUCUUGAUAACGCAAUUACCGCAUACAGUGAGUGAUAUUUCUGCACUUAGUGGGGAAGUGCUGCAAAGUCUGCAAUUCGGGUGCUACAAUUUAGCGCACAAACAUGCUAAUUCCACAAAGAAAGGCAGGAACCUGGAUUUGAACCUCUGAACUGUGCUAACCACUCCAUCUCUGUGCUGCUGUGGUGGGAAAUAUUGU